CCUAGAAAUGAAAUGACCACUCCUCUCUCUCUCUCUCUGCACAGUCUAUAACUUCAGUUGCUUCCCCUUUUGCUGGAAAGAAAUUCUGAUUCUGAAGAUGAUGAUCUGAUCUUCUGUUUACUCUUAAAGCACUUCCCAUAAAUCACAACAAGUCCACUUUCUCAAGAUCUCUCUUUGAUUGCACUAUGCUUCAAUCUCAGAUCCAUCUGAGCUAAAAUGUUGCAGAACUUAAAAAGACUGAAGGAGAGUCACCACUAUCAGAGUCAGAUUCUGAUGAAGAUUGAGUAAAAAAGCUUAGAAGACCCCAGAAGAAGAAGAUAAAGAUCCCAACACACGCAGAUCUUUGCUUCCAUGGAUUUUUUCACAGUACCACUACCACCACCAAGCAACAUUCCCCACAUUCCAAAAAUAAUCACCACCACCAACACCACCACCACCAACAGCAACCCAAGCAUUUCAUCAACAAGACUAGUAUCAACUUCAGCUUCACCUUCUGUUCCUAGCCGGUACGAGAGCCAGAAGCGCCGCGAUUGGAACACCUUUGGGCAGUACUUGAGAAACCACAGGCCUCCACUCCCACUCUCCAUGUGUUCUAGUGCUCAUGUCCUUCAAUUCCUUCGAUACCUCGACCAGUUUGGAAAAACCAAAGUCCAUAACCAAACAUGCCCUUUCUUUGGGGUCCCUAACCCACCUGCACCGUGCCCUUGCCCUCUCAGGCAAGCCUGGGGAAGCCUCGAUGCUCUCAUAGGCCGCCUUAGAGCGGCCUACGAAGAGCACGGUGGGAAACCCGAGGUGAACCCGUUUGGGGCAAGAGCAGUGAGGCUUUUCUUGCGUGAGGUUCGCGAUUUUCAAGCUAAAUCUAGAGGGAUUAGUUAUGAGAAGAAGCGAAAGCGGUCGAAGGAGAAGGUACCACCACUGCAACAACCUCCUGUUGCAACUCAGUGAUGUACACUAGUCUGCACCAUGGAGUAUGGAUUUAAGUUUGUUCAAGACCAUGACUUGUGGAUAUGCAAUCUCUCCAGUUUGCUGUUAUUGGAAACAGUAGGGUUUGGGACUACCAAGAAUAGAAAUAUAGAAAUAUAAGAAGAGUUUCCAGUGAAGUAGUAACAAAUGGCAGGCUAUAGUAAUAGACAUUGUAUGCAUAUAAUGUACGGCUAUAUAAUAUGUACUUGAAAAUU